AACGAACGCUGGCGGCGCGCUUAACACAUGCAAGUCGAACGGUCCUGAUAGAGCCGUAAGGUGAUAUCGGGAUAGUGGCAAACGGGUGAGUAACACGUGGAUAAUCUACCCUUGAGUGGGGGGUAACUCUGCGAAAGUGGAGCUAAUACCGCGAAGACUACAGAAUCGCAUGAUUCAGUAGUAAAAGGCUCCGGUUUACCGGAGUCGCUCAGGGAUGAAUCCGCGCCUGAUUAGCUAGUUGGUAGGGUAACAGCCUACCAAGGCAACGAUCAGUAGCCGGCCUGAAAGGGUGUUCGGCCACAUUGGAAUUGAGAUACGGUCCAGACUCCUACGGGAGGCAGCAGUGGGGAAUCUUGCGCAAUGGGGGAAACCCUGACGCAGUGACGCCGCGUGAACGAUGAAGUCCUUCGGGAUGUAAAGUUCUGUUAGGCGGGAAGAACCCCUGAGAAAUCAGGGAUGACGGUACCGCCAGAGGAAGCACCGGCUAACUCCGUGCCAGCAGCCGCGGUAACACGGAGGGUGCAAGCGUUGUUCGGAAUUACUAGGCGUAAAGAGCGUGUAGGUGGUUAACUAAGUCGGAUGUGAAAAUUCCAAGCUCAACUUGGAACCUGCAUUCGAAACUGGUUAACUUGAGUGUAGGAGAGGAGAGCGGAAUUCCUAGUGUAGCGGUGAAAUGCGUAGAUAUUAGGAAGAACACCGGUGGCGAAGGCGGCUCUCUGGCCUAAAACUGACACUGAGACGCGAAAGCGUGGGUAGCGAACAGGAUUAGAUACCCUGGUAGUCCACGCCGUAAACGAUGGGCUUUAGGUGUAGGAGGUACCCAAUCCUUCUGUGCCGAAGUUAACGCAUUAAAUGCCCCGCCUGGGGAGACGACCGCAAGGUU
rnacentral:rRNA from 1 species